rnacentral:rRNA from 1 species
UUUAUUAAAAACAUGGCCUUUUGAUAAUAAUUUAAGGUYUAACCUGCCCAAUGAAGAUUUAAAUGGCCGCGGUAUUUUGACCGUGCAAAGGUAGCAUAAUCAUUAGUUUUUUAAUUGAAAGCUUGUAUGAAAGGUUUGAUGAAAAAAUAGCUGUCUCUAUUUAAAUUUGUUAGAAUUUUAUAUUUAAGUAAAAAAGCUUAAAUUUUGAUAGAAGACGAGAAGACCCUAUAGAGUUUUAUAUUUAUUUAUAUAUUUGUAUAUUAAGAAUUUAGGUUGAUUUAUGUAGAGUAAAUAUUUAGUUGGGGUGAUUGAAAAAUUAGAUAAACUUUUUUUUUAUAAAAUCAUUUAUAUAUGAAUAUUUGAUCCUUUUAUGAAGAUUAUAAGAUAAAAUUACCUUAGGGAUAACAGCGUAAUUUUUUUUUAGAGUUCAAAUUAAAAAAAAAGAUUGCGACCUCGAUGUUGGAUUAAAAUUUGAUUUUGGUGAAGAAGCUAAAAAUCUAGGUCUGUUCGACCUUUAAAAUUUUACAUGAUCUGAGUUUAAACCGGCGUAA